AACUUGAAGAAGCUGUCUUGCCACAGGCAAAAGAGGGAGAGGGUGAAGCAGAGCAGUUACAAUUGGAAGAUAUGGCCUCAGGAGCAUCUGUUUCUGUGCUAGAAAAAAUCUUUGAAAAAUUGGAAGCUUUGGACAAGAAAGUAGAUGCGCAAUCAGCAAAGAUUGAUAAAAAUACAGAUUGUCUAAACAAAUUAACUACACAGGUGGGACAGAAUACACAAGCAAUUGGACAGUUGACGGAGGCCUCAGUAGAAAACCGAAAAUUGGCUGAGGAUACCAGACAAAAAUUGGAAAAUUUAGAGCAAGAGGUAAGACCACUCACUAAACAAGUUGGGGAACAUCAGACUUAUCUUUCUAUGAUAGAACUGCGAAAUCGUGAGAAUAAUUUGAGGAUUAGAUCAUUACAAGAGGCAGAAGAAGGAAAUCUAACUGAGUUUUUGACCAAAGAACUUUCCAAGUUCUGGAAUUUGGAAGAAAAGGACUUUAAAAUUGUGUCAGCUUUCAGACUUGGAAGAUUUAUAAAGAAGGAGAGGCCCAGGGAUUGUUUGAUUACAUUGAGAUCGAAGGAGGAAAGGGAUAAGAUUUUGGGUCUACAUUACGAAAAGUCACUGGAGGUUUUGGAUAGAAGAAUUGAGAUAUAUAAAGAUAUCCCAAGACAACUGUUGGACCUUAGAGCCGCCUAUUCUGAACUUGCUAAACUAUUAAGGAGCAACGCAAUUCCAUUCAGGUGGGAAUUUCCCCAAGGAUUAUCUUUUACCUUUAGAGCGAGAAAGGUUAAAAUUAGAACAUUGGAAGAGAGAGAUAAAUUUCUGGCUACAUACGGAGAGGACCUACAUAAAGGAAUUGAACUACCUUCCGGGCCUGGGGCAAAGCCAGCAUCAAUACCUCCACCUGGGGAACUUGAAGACCCAGAGAAGACACCACCCCGGGAGAAAUAACCAGACAGAUCCAGGAUGUCUCUGCAACUGUUGAGCUGGAAUAUUAAUGGUUGUAAUAUUCCGGAGAAAAGGAAGAAAAUAUUUCAUAUAUUAAAAAAAGAACAAUUGGACAUUAUUUGUUUACAAGAAACACAUGUGACGAGGCUCCACAGAAAAGUGUUAAUAAAUAAAAGAUUGGGCCAGGAAUUUAUUUCGUCGGACAAAGUGAAGAAGAGAGGAGUGGUGAUAUAUGCAAAAGAGAGCCUGUCACCUAAAUUUCUAUUUAAAGAUGAACAUGGAAGGAUUUUGGCUAUUGAGAUACAAUAUCAAGGAGAGAAACUGCUGAUAUUAGGAAUUUAUGCGCCCAAUGAAGGGAAAUCGGAAUUUUACAAGAAGUUGCAGGGGACAAUGCUGGAUCAUCUGGAUUACAACAACAUCAUAAUGAUGGGAGACAUGAACGGGGUCGUGUCAACUAACAUGGACAAGUCGCAAAGUCAAAAUGUCACAAAAGAUGGCAGACUACCUAAAACCUUUUUGAAAUGACUGACAAUAUGGACUUGAUCGACAUUUGGAGAACAAAGAACCCACUAGGUAGAGAAGGAACAUUCUUUUCUGAAGCCCAACUGACCUGGACAAGAAUCGACCAAAUAUGGAUCUCUAGAGGCCUGGCACCUAGGGUUAGAAAAGUGGAAAUCUGCCCAAAGACCUGCUCUGACCACAACGCAGUAAAGAUGGAUAUGACACUACUACCAACUGGAUCCUUUAGAUGGAAGAUGAAUGACAAUUUGUUUAGAGAUCAGGAAAUUACCAAGAAGGCCCAAAAAGCUUUGAAAGACUAUUUCGAGAUAAACAUGAACAAUUCGGUGGAAAAAGAAUCGUCUGGGACGCAAGCAAAGCUGUCAUGAGGGGAUUUCUGAUACAACAGAAUGUAGU